GGCCUGAUGGUCUAGUAGUAUGAUUCCUUGUUAGGGCGAACGCGUCAUUUCGAGGAGGUCCUGGGUUCAAUUCCCAGUUAGGCCC